GAUGAACGCUGGCGGCGUGCCUAAUACAUGCAAGUCGAGCGAACGGACGAGAAGCUUGCUUUUCUGAUGUUAGCGGCGGACGGGUGAGUAACACGUGGAUAACCUACCUAUAAGACUGGGAUAACUUCGGGAAACCGGAGCUAAUACCGGAUAAUAUUUUGAACCGCAUGGUUCAAAAGUGAAAGACGGUCUUGCUGUCACUUAUAGAUGGAUCCGCGCUGCAUUAGCUAGUUGGUAAGGUAACGGCUUACCAAGGCAACGAUGCAUAGCCGACCUGAGAGGGUGAUCGGCCACACUGGAACUGAGACACGGUCCAGACUCCUACGGGAGGCAGCAGUAGGGAAUCUUCCGCAAGGGGCGAAAGCCUGACGGAGCAACGCCGCGUGAGUGAUGAAGGUCGUCGGAUCGUAAAACUCUGUUAUUAGGGAAGAACAUAUGUGUAAGUAACUGUGCACAUCUUGACGGUACCUAAUCAGAAAGCCACGGCUAACUACGUGC
rnacentral:rRNA from 1 species